rnacentral:other from 1 species
UUUACCCUGCGGUGUGCGUGACCGUGUCGUUAUGUUUUGAGCCAACACUUUUACAUUGGGAGCCCCAGAGCUCCACUUGCAGACUUGUAUGCCUUCAUUUAUGAGGGAACAAAAAAACAAGCGGGAGGGCACCCACCUGCUCGCGCAGGUUCAAAACGACGACCCCACGGCAUUGUGGGGUUGUU